AUCGCUUCUCGGCCUUUUGGCUAAGAUCAAGUGUAGUAUCUGUUCUUAUCAGUUUUAAUAUCUGAUACGUCCCCUACCCGGGGACCAUAUAUUAAAUUGCUUUUUGGACAAGGGAGAUGGAAUUGGGGCUUGCUCCGUCCACUCCACGCAUCAACCUGGUAUUGCAGUUACUUUCAGGAAUGGUGCACCCCCU
ensembl:snRNA U2 U2 spliceosomal RNA